AAUACAUCGGAAUCUACUCUGUCGUGGGGGAGUAACGUAGGGAAACUUACGCUAAUACCGCAUACGACCUACGGGUGAAGCAGGGGAUCUUCGGACCUUGCGCGAUUGAAUGAGCCGAUGUCGGAUUAGCUAGUUGGCGGGGUAAAGGCCCACCAAGGCGACGAUCCGUAGCUGGUCUGAGAGGAUGAUCAGCCACACUGGAACUGAGACACGGUCCAGACUCCUACGGGAGGCAGCAGA
rnacentral:rRNA from 1 species